ensembl:snRNA U6 U6 spliceosomal RNA
GUGCUUACUUUGGCAGGACAUAUACUAAAAUUAGAAUGAUAGAGAGAAGAUUAGCAGGGCCCUGCCAAGGAUGAGUGCAAGUUCAUGAAGUGUUCCAUAUAUAU